GUGGGUGUAGCUCAGUCGGCAAGAGCAUCAGGUUGUGGCCCUGAGGGUCGUGGGUUCGAGUCCCAUCACCCACCCCA
rnacentral:tRNA from 1 species